UUAAUUUGAUGUCAAGUUCAAGCAUUUAAUUUUCUAUUGAAAGUCUACCAAAAUGGCAAUCCAGAGGUUAAAGAAAAUAGCUACAUAAGAAUUGCUUUUAAAUUUAGACAAAGAAAUAUAUUAAGGCAGACAUAACCCACAUACAAUAAAAACCCCAGGAUGAUUCAAUAUAGUAUUUUCUUGAACUGUUUGUUACCAGAGGUUUCACCCUUGCUUACAGAACCAUAUUUUGCAACUGAAAAGCAUAAAACAAAUCAGAUUUUUCUCCAGUUUAAGGUAUUUUUAGAAGAAAAUAUCCUUUAUGCAGUAUAAAAUGCAAAGAAUCUGCUAUAAAAAGAAGUCAGCUAGCUAUAGCUGAACCAAAUUAACCUCUCUAUGCACCACGCUUGGCUAUAUUAUAUCAUCUCUUGAUUGUGCUAGUGUCAGCCCCUCUUUAGUGGUAGGCUUAAUGCCCCUCCAACCCAUUCUCCACAGGAUACUCAUGAGGUUCUGAAAAAGAAAAUCAUCCUGUCAUAGGCCUCCUUUAAAAUUCUUCAAGGGCUUCCCAUUGUUCUUGGGAUAAAAACAUCCUUCAGGAGUCCCGUAAGGCCUUGUAUCUUCUGGUCUUUAGCCACCAUAACUCUUGUAGGCCUUAUAAGGGCCUCAGGGCCUUUGCACAGGCUGUUCCCUCUACCACCUUAACUCCUACUUAUCUUUCAGAUCACUACUGACACUUCAUUCCUCAGAGGCCUUCCUUGACCUCCAAACCAGGCUCAGUUUCCAAAUGAAAAGAGAAAGAAAAAUUGUAUAUCAUCCAACUUACUGAAUAUUACCUACAGAAUAUGUACAUACCUGUAUUUUACAUAAAAAAAUGAUUCUCAGUAUUCAUAUAACUGCUCCAUGUAGGAAUCACAGUAGUCAACAUUAAGUACAACUUUAUUUUCGGACCAGUCAUGCAUUUUUAGAUCAGAGCAUUCAUGGGACAUUGCCUCUUAAUCCCUAAAUUUGCAGUUAAAGAUGUAUUCAGAAAUAAGUAUUAUGAAACUGAAAAGAAGUUAAGUUCUUAAGGCAAAUAGCUAUGAAACCUGGACAGAAGUCUCCUUGGUUUCUCUUCUAGAAACAGCUUCACGAAUCAUUUGGGAAAUCAGCCUAGAGGCAAACCAAUAAACCACACUUCACAUCCAUUCUUACAAUUGAUCUUUCUCAAGAAAUGAUCAAAUAGCACCUGUUGUUGAAGACAGUGGUUAAGGCCUGACUCAGGAUGCUCAAGCUUUGGUUCUGGGUCAGUUUUCUGGCUUGGACUGGUCAGGAGUCGCUUCCUUCAGAAUCUCCAUCAGUGAAUUUAAGUUGAAACUCCAAAAAUUGGGAAGGAAGACAUGAAUGGGGGAAGAAGGCUUCUGGAGAAAGAAGCAUCGACUAGUCUCCCCUCCCUUUCUAGUGGCACGCAACUCUUUCCCCCCUAACUCAUUCACAGUAAAAAAUGCCUUUCUUUCUUUAAAAUUUUGCAAAUGGUCUUCAAAAGUAACUAUGGUUGUCAGGUUUAGAACAGAUGUUUGUUGUACUUAGAUCAUUUUCAAUAGCUCUUUAACCUUAGAAUAGCUGUAUCUAGAACAAACUUAGUGAUGUAACUCAGCACACGACACGUACCUAGACUCAUAAACUUAAGGAAUACAGGAUAGUGGAUAACAGUCUUCUGGUGAAGUCAGGGUUAACCAAAAUAAGUCAUAUUUCUGACGUAAAUGGCACAGUACACGAAAUCUACUUUUUAUGGUCCAAGAAUACUCAAAAUUCAUCAGGAAAUUUUGCUUAAACAGGUAACUCUAGAGCCUGUUAAUCUUAUUGGGGUGCCCUUGGACAUGAAUCAUCAUUUUUCAUUUUGUUGCAUUCAAGAUUUUUUUCUCUUUGUCUAUAUUCCAACAUCUUUACUACAAUGUGUUGAGGUAUAGAUCUCUGCAUUUAUCCUACUGGAGCUUGUUGAGGUUUCAAAUAUGUCGGUUAAUGGUUCUCAUCAAAUUUGACACGUUUUCAGCCAUUAUUUCCUUGAAUAUUUUUUCUCCUUUCUCCUCUCCUUUUUGUACUCCCAUCACCAAAGCAUAUUUAGAUAUGCUUGCCAGUACCCAACAGGUCUCUCAGGCUCAGUUCAGUUUUCUUCAUUCUUUUUACUCUGCUCUUUAGAUUGCAUAAGCUCAUCAAUCUAUCUCCUAGCUUGCUGAUUCUUUGGCCAGUUCAAAUCUGCUUAGUCCCUCUAGUGAAUCUUUCAUGUCAGUUAUUGUACUUUUCAACUCACAGGAUUUUCAUUUGGUUCUUUAUAAUUUCUCUCUUCAGGGAUACCUCUAUUUGAUAAGUGUUAGGUCUCUGAAUGUUAAAGACCUUGACUUGAUGUUAGGUCUCAAGAGACCUUGACUUAUAGACAGAGCCAUGUCUGCAAGAGAACAACAAAAUGUCUGUUGGCCUGCACCUGCAGACAGAGCCAAACUUGUGAUAACAGAAAAGGAUUACAGGCAGUCAACAUUUUCUGUUCAAACAGUGAUACCCUGUCAGCACUGCCCCUAUGUAACCUUCCUCACCCCCUCUCUCAGGGCUGCAGUCUCCUUUAGACGCUCAGCUAGGGCUGUAGCCAUCUUUACUCAGCCCGACAGAUUCUCUCUUAAUAAAAUAGACCUUCUUAAACUUUCUUAACUUGCCUGACUGUGCGCGUUCCUUUACCGGGCGACCUAUCAAUGAGACAUUGUCAUCAUACCUUCUUUUACUUCUUUAAGCAUGAUCUUUACUUUUUGGACAUAUAACGGCUGCUUUUAAAGGCUUUAUCUGCUCAUUUAUUUGGGCCCUUUAAAAAGUAGAUUUUUAAAAAAAGAUUUUUAUUGGAGAAUUGGGGGAUGGGA